rnacentral:rRNA from 1 species
UACCUGGUUGAUCCUGCCAGUAGUCAUAUGCUUGUCUCAAAGAUUAAGCCAUGCAUGUCUAAGUAUAAGCACUCGUACUGUGAAACUGCGAAUGGCUCAUUAAAUCAGUUAUCGUUUAUUUGAUUGUACUUUACUACAUGGAUACCUGUGGUAAUUCUAGAGCUAAUACAUGCGAAAAAUCCCGACUUCUGGAAGGGAUGUAUUUAUUAGAUUAAAAACCAAUGCGUGCCCUCGGGCGCGUUUUCUUGGUGAUUCAUGAUAACUUUUCGAAUCGUAUGGCCUUGCGCCGGCGAUAUUUCAUUCAAAUUUCUGCCCUAUCAACUGUCGAUGGUAAGGUAGUGGCUUACCAUGGUUAUAACGGGUGACGGAGAAUUAGGGUUCGAUUCCGGAGAGGGAGCCUGAGAAACGGCUACCACAUCUAAGGAAGGCAGCAGGCUCGAAAAUUACCCAAUCCCGACUCGGGGAGGUAGUGACAAGAAAUAACGAUACGGGGUCUUAAUAGGUCUCGCAAUUGGAAUGAGUACAAUUUAAAUCCUUUAACGAGGAUCAAUUGGAGGGCAAGUCUGGUGCCAGCAGCCGCGGUAAUUCCAGCUCCAAUAGC